ACGGGGGUGAGGUGUGGGGGAGGUUGAGGGCAGCUCAAGGCCCCGCGCCCCUCCCUAGAACGGAAGGCCCGAUGAGCCACGUGACGGAAAGACCGGUCCGAGGCGGGCUUUGGAGGCGGAAGUUUCGAUGAUAAUCGGAGAGCCGAGGCUGCGGGCUCCGGGCCCGCCUUGGCGGCGCUGAGGAAGCCGAGGCUCCGCGGUGAAGUCGGCCAUGGCGAUCCUGAAGGGCGCGUGGGCGCUGCUGUGGGCGCUGCUGGCUCUGGCGUGGGCGGCGGGUCAGGAAACCGGCGAAAAGAACUCCCAGGAUGUCCGAUGUAAAUGUAUAUGUCCCCCAUACAAAGACCAUGCUGGUAAAUUUUUUAGUAAAAAUGUUUCACAGAAGGACUGGUAAGUAUAUGAUACUUUAUAUUUAAGAGAUCAGAAUAAUUUAAAUAGCUCAUUUAUUAUUGGUAUUUCAAAGUAUUUUGAAUCAAGAAAAUUGUUAAAUCUGGAUGCUUAGAUUGAAGUUGUUUGUGGUUAUUGCUAGUAAAUAUAAGAUUAUAUUUGAAAUAACAUUCAGAAUAUUUUUUUAUAAAUACUUUGGCUUAAAAAUGAUUUAUUUUAAAGUGUUUUUAUUUAAGGCAAUGCAAUGCUUUUUGAUAUAACUUGAGAUCUUAAAAUAAAUCAGAUACAUGUCUGCAGGCUGAUUUUUCAUAGUCUUAGAUCAUUGGCUUCCAUAAUGUCCUUUAGAUAUACAGUAGGUGUAGAUUAAUAAUAAUCAAAA